rnacentral:rRNA from 1 species
AUUGAACGCUGGCGGCAGGCCUAACACAUGCAAGUCGAACGAGUGGCGGACGGGUGAGUAAUGUCUGGGAAACUGCCUGAUGGAGGGGGAUAACUACUGGAAAAGGUAGCUAAUACCGCAUACCAUCGGAUGUGCCCAGAUGGGAUUAGCUGGUGGGGGGGGGAAAGGCUCACCAGGGCGACGAUCCCUAGCCGGUCUGAGAGGAUGACCACCCACACUGGAACUGAAACACGGCCCAAACUCCUACGGAAGGAAGCAGUGGGGAUUAUUGGACAAUGGGCGAAAGCCUGACGCAGCCCUGCCGCGUGUAUGAAGAAGUCUUCCGGGUGGUAAAGUACUUUCAGAGGGGAGGCGUUACCCGCAGAAGAAGCAACGGCUAACUCCGUGCCAGCCGCCGCGGUAAUAC